GACGAACGCUGGCGGCGUGCCUAAUACAUGCAAGUUGAGCGCUGAAGGUUGGUACUUGUACCAACUGGAUGAGCAGCGAACGGGUGAGUAACGCGUGGGGAAUCUGCCUUUGAGCGGGGGACAACAUUUGGAAACGAAUGCUAAUACCGCAUAAAAACUUUAAACACAAGUUUUAAGUUUGAAAGAUGCAAUUGCAUCACUCAAAGAUGAUCCCGCGUUGUAUUAGCUAGUUGGUGAGGUAAAGGCUCACCAAGGCGAUGAUACAUAGCCGACCUGAGAGGGUGAUCGGCCACAUUGGGACUGAGACACGGCCCAAACUCCUACGGGAGGCAGCAGUAGGGAAUCUUCGGCAAUGGACGAAAGUCUGACCGAGCAACGCCGCGUGAGUGAAGAAGGUUUUCGGAUCGUAAAACUAUGUUGGUAGAGAAGAACGUUGGUGAGAGUGGAAAGCUCAUCAAGUGACGGUAACUACCCAGAAAGGGACGGCUAACUACGUG
rnacentral:rRNA from 1 species